AAGUCGUAACAAGGUUUCCGUAGGUGAACCUGCGGAAGGAUCAUUAAAAUGUAUGAGAUUGGCAGCGCGUGCAUGAGCGGAGCGAAGCGAAGCGAGUGCACACGCUGUCGAUCGAAUAGCCAUGGCCGAGGGUUGGGUGACAGAUGGUUGAGGGUGAGGGCGAGGGUUGGCGAGGGCAUGUUGGGCGACGGUCAUCGAUGCAGCGCGAAUUAAACACUCGCUCUGCGUCAAAACACAUGCACAUGCAAAACGUGCACAUGCACACACGCAUCACGCAACAUUUAUGCAACUGUAGACAAUGGAUCUCUAGGCUCCUGC
rnacentral:misc_RNA from 1 species